UAAAAAGUGGAUCCGUGCAUC
rnacentral:piRNA from 1 species